rnacentral:rRNA from 1 species
GACGAACCGUGCGAACGUUAUUCGGAAUUACUGGGCGUAAAGCGUACGUAGGCGGAUCGUUAAGUCAGGGGUGAAAGCCUGGAGCUCAACUCCAGAACUGCCUUUGAUACUGGCGAUCUUGAGACCGGGAGAGGUGAGUGGAACUGCUAGUGUAGAGGUGAAAUUCGUAGAUAUUAGCAAGAACACCAGUGGCGAAGGCGGCUCACUGGCCCGGUACUGACGCUGAGGUACGAAAGCGUGGGGAGCAAACAGG